UACGUAGGGCGCAAGCGUUGUCCGGAAUUAUUGGGCGUAAAGAGCUUGUAGGUGGUUUGUCGCGUCUGCUGUGAAAAUCCGGGGCUCAACCCCGGACUUGCAGUGGGUACGGGCAGACUAGAGUGUGGUAGGGGAGACUGGAAUUCCUGGUGUAGCGGUGGAAUGCGCAGAUAUCAGGAGGAACACCGAUGGCGAAGGCAGGUCUCUGGGCCAUUACUGACACUGAGAAGCGAAAGCAUGGGGAGCGAACAGG
rnacentral:rRNA from 1 species